rnacentral:rRNA from 1 species
ACUCCUACGGGAGGCAGCAGUGGGGAAUAUUGCACAAUGGGCGCAAGCCUGAUGCAGCCAUGCCGCGUGUAUGAAGAAGGCCUUCGGGUUGUAAAGUACUUUCAGCAGUGAGGAAGGCAGGUACGUUAAUAGCGUGCUUGUUUGACGUUAGCUGCAGAAGAAGCACCGGCUAACUCCGUGCCAGCAGCCGCGGUAAUACGGAGGGUGCGAGCGUUAAUCGGAAUUACUGGGCGUAAAGCGCAUGCAGGUGGUUUGUUAAGUCAGAUGUGAAAGCCCGGGGCUCAACCUCGGAAUUGCAUUUGAAACUGGCAGACUAGAGUACUGUAGAGGGGGGUAGAAUUUCAGGUGUAGCGGUGAAAUGCGUAGAGAUCUGAAGGAAUACCGGUGGCGAAGGCGGCCCCCUGGACAGAUACUGACACUCAGAUGCGAAAGCGUGGGGAGCAAACAGGAUUAGAUACCCUGGUAGCGUCGUC